UUUCUUCACCGCUCCGCCAUGGAUCUAUCCCACCUGAUCCGUCCUUCUUCCAACUCCUCCUCCUCCUCCUCCUUCAACGUUCCAACAAUGGCAGCAACCAAAACAGACUUUGAUCUCAGUCCAUCUCCGCAGUCUAUCUACUCGGUCGGUGACUAUACAUUUGCGGAUGUCACUAACUUGGACCAUUGCGCUAAGUAUUUGAACCAGACGCUUAUCACAUUUGGAUUUCCGGCUUCGCUCGAUCUUUUCUCGAAUGAUCCGGUGUCUAUCGCGAGGACGUGCAAUUGUAUAUAUUUCCUGCUUCAACAGAGGCAGCGUGACAUUGACUUUAGGGAAUCUGCUAAUGAACAGAGACAAAGACUACUUUUAGACAUAUCAAGAUUGGAGACUAAAGUUGAGAGGCUGGAGUCAGUAAUACAAGCUAAAGAUAGGGAGAUUGCAACAAUUACACGAACAGAAGCCAAAGCUAAGGCAGCUUUCAAAGCCCAAAUUGAUAAGCUUCAGCAGGAAAAGGAUGAGUUUCAAAGAAUGGUUAUUGGCAAUCAGCAAGUAAGAACUCAACAAAUGCAUGAGAUGAAGAAGAAAGAAAAGGAGUAUAUCAAAUUGCAGGAAAGGCUAAACCAAGUUUUAAUGGAGAAAAAGAAAGAAUCUAGAUCAGGAAUGGAGAUAAUGAAUUUGCUACAGAAAGAAGGGCGACAACGUGGAACUUGGAAUGGCAAGAAGACUGAUAAUGAUUUCUAUAAAAAGAUAGUGGAUACUUAUGAAGUAAAAAAUCAAGAAUUGAUGUCGGAGAAUGCUGAUUUGAAGGCAUUGUUGCGAUCAAUGCAGGUUGAUAUGAGGGAUUUCCUAAAUGCUCCAAAUGGACUGCCUAAGCAACCCCUUGCAGUUAAUGAAAGAGUUGAAAGUGAAGGUGCACGGUUUUCCUUUGGUGGGAGGACGGAUGUUUUUGACCUUCCGUUUCAUAUGGCUAGAGAUAAGAUUGAAGAGAGCCUUCGGAAUAAGAUGGCUUCUAUAAAGGAGCGGAUGGGUGAGCUGCAAGAUGCUCAGAAAGAAUCUGAAGUUACUUCUGAAGCUACCGAGAGGGAAUUUGAGUUAGAAGCACAACUUGUAGAGGCAAGGAGCAUAAUCCAGGAGCAGGCAUCAAUUAUGUCUAAACAUGCCAAAUCUGAGAGGCCAAGGAGUCUUAAGGGCCCUUUUGAUUCUGGCUGAGAAUCCAUCAUUACAGGCAAUAGAAGACAAACAAGCUCAGUGGCUGUAGAGUAUUAUAGAGUUGAGUGGCCGCAUGGACAAGAAAACGGUAAAACGUCCUUUGUACAGCAAUUCUUAACCAGGAGAAACACAUUCUGGGGAAACUCAAACUUAGAUUGAGUUUCUAAGCUUCUUUGAAGGGGGCCGUGAAAGAAGGGAAAAAGAAGAGAAAAUGGAUGGAAACUUUCAUUGGGAUAUGAAGAGCAAAGUGAUAGCAAGAACAUCUUCAAUAGGUUGUUCUUCUCGCAGCACUUAUUACUGUGGAGCAGCUGAAGGAGUCCCUUUCGUAUGGGAAACACAGCCAGGAACCCCCAAAGAUCCACCCCCUCAAGACUUGCUUCCACCCCUCAGCCCUCCACCAGCAGUUAUCAGCCUCGGGUUACCGCUACCGUGCAUUGAGAAACCAAAAACCCGACCCCGACCCACGAUGAAGCUUAGGUUCUGGAGGAGGGUCAAGAAGAGUAGGGAUGGUGGGAGAGCUGCCCAAGCAACAACUAUAGACUAUAGCAAUGAUAAGUUGGAAACAUUUUCAUUUCUCAGCUCGGACUGCGAGUUCAUGGCUUCUCCUCGGGAUUCUAUGUCGUCGUCGUCGUCUUCUUCAUCUCCGUCGUCUCUCAUCGAGUCGUUAACUGUACAAAAUAUGGGGAGGGCGUCGCUUGGAAGGCCUUCUAGUUGUAGUACUGCUGGAAAAAUUCAUAGAAUUCUGGCUUGUUACCAUUGAUAGGGGAUUUUUAGUAUGAAUUUAUGUUAGAUAUAAGUGAUAUCAAUUAUAUCAAUUAAUAAAGAAGAUUUAAGUUAUUUAAGCAA